GUGAGGAAUAUUGGUCAAUGGGCGGGAGCCUGAACCAGCCAAGUCGCGUGAAGGAAGAAGGAUCUAUGGUUCGUAAACUUCUUUUGCAGGGGAAUAAAGUGCAGGACGUGUCCUGUUUUGUAUGUACCCUGAGAAUAAGGAUCGGCUAACUCCGUGCCAGCAGCCGCGGUAAUACGGAGGAUCCGAGCGUUAUCCGGAUUUAUUGGGUUUAAAGGGUGCGUAGGUGGUUUGAUAAGUCAGCGGUGAAAGUUUGCAGCUUAAUUGUAAAAAUGCCGUUGAAACUGUCGGACUUGAGUGUAAAUGAGGUAGGAGGAAUGCGUGGUGUAGCGGUGAAAUGCAUAGAUAUCACGCAGAACUCCGAUUGCGAAGGCAGCUUACUAAGCUACAACUGACACUGAAGCACGAAAGCGUGGGGAUCAAACAGGAUUAGAAACCCCAGUAGUCC
rnacentral:rRNA from 1 species